GAAAUGCGAUAAGUAAUGUGAAUUGCAGAAUUCAGUGAAUCAUCGAAUCUUUGAACGCACCUUGCGCUCCUUGGUAUUCCUUGGAGCAUGCCUGUUUGAGUAUCAUGAAAUCUUCAAAGAAAAUCUUUUGUUAACUCAAUUGGUUUCUACUUUGGUAUUGGAGGUCUUUGCAGCUUCACACCUGCUCCUCUUUGUUCAUUAGCUGGAUCUCAGUGUUAUGCUUGGUUCCACUCGGCGUGAUGAGUUAUCUAUCGCUGAGGACACUGUAAAAGGUGGCCAAGGUAAAUGCAGAUGAACCGCUUCUAACAGUCCAUUGACUUGGACAAUACUUUUAUGAUCUGAUCUCAAAUCAGGUAGGACUACCCGCUGAACUUAAGC
rnacentral:misc_RNA from 1 species